GAGGUCCGUGUCCAACCGGAGUACGGUCGAUCUCGCACCGUGGGCUGUGCCUUCCAGGUUUGCGUGGAAAAGUUGCGGAGACGUUAAAUCACGCGUCAAAACGGGAUGUUUGUGUUGCAGAGCAGUAAAUGUGGAGAUGGUACAGGAGCACGAUUACAACAGCCGUCCAGUCCCAGUGCUCUUGCUGAGGCAUGGGAAAAAUAAAGGAGCUGGAAAAAACACCUGCUAGUGACAUCAGCAUCAUCUACACACCUGCUAGUGACAUCAUGCUUCUCUUCACCUGCUAGUGACAUCAGCAUCAUCUACUCACCUGCUAGUGACAUCAGCAUCAUCUACUCACCUGCUAGUGACAUCAGCAUCAUCUACACACCUGCUAGUGACAUCAGCAUCAUCUACACACCUGCUAGUGACAUCAGCAUCAUCUACACACCUGCUAGUGACAUCAUGCUUCUCUUCACCUGCUAGUGACAUCAGCAUCAUCUACACACCUGCCAGUGACAUCAUCAUCAUCUACUCACCUGCUAGUGACAUCAGCAUCAUCUACACACCUGCCAGUGACAUCAGCAUCAUCUACACACCUGCUAGUGACAUCAGCAUCAUCUACUCACCUGCCAGUGACAUCAGCAUCAUCUACUCACCUGCUAGUGGCAUCAUGCUCCUCCUCACCUGCUAGUGACAUCAGCAUCAUCUACACACCUGCCAGUGACAUCAGCAUCAUCUACACACCUGCCAGUGACAUCAGCAUCAUCUACUCACCUGCUAGUGGCAUCAUGCUCCUCCUCACCUGCUAGUGACAUCAGCAUCAUCUACACAUCUGCUAGUGACAUCAGCAUCAUCUACACACCUGCUAGUGACAUCAGCAUCAUCUACACACCUGCUAGUGACAUCAGCAUCAUCUACACACCUGCUAGUGACAUCAGCAUCAUCUACACACCUGCUAGUGACAUCAGCAUCAUCUACACACCUGCUAGUGACAUCAGCAUCAUCUACACACCUGCUAGUGACAUCAGCAUCAUCUACACACCUGCUAGUGACAUCAUGCUUCUCUUCACCUGCUAGUAACUUGUCUGCUUUGUGAUAAACAAAUUUUGCUAUCUUCUAUUUUGCAUGGUCCCCAAUAAACUCAACAUGGGAGGCCUCUCCGAUUUCUUUCACGUCAGGGCACUUAACCUCUACCAGGCCACAGGGAGGUUCUUCAUUUGGGUCCACCACUUUGCCAUCUGCACCAAGGUGUGGAGCAUCAGGGUGGAUGAUGAGACCAGAUGGAAGAACGUUAACGUCAAAGGUCUCCUCAUAGCGGUGAAGAACCUCUGGCUCAAGUUUUAAUCCUCUACAAAUCACUCUCUAGAGACCCCGACAGGUGUUUACACACUGUUUAAUUCAAGAUAUAAAUGCAUUUAACCUGCAAUUACAAAUGGAUAAUGUUUUGAUGUUUUACGCCCAAAAUGUUGAAUACUGAUAUUUGCAAUGAUAAAAGAAAGAAAGUGCUUUAAGAAAAAUUUGCCUUACUUAAGUGGUAGAUUUCUGCCAUUUACUGGAAAACAUUUAAAAUUACAAAAGCACUAUAUGAACAUUCUGAGUAAUUUUAUUCACGAAUAUACAAUCAGACAUCCCAGUUUCUGUUUUGGUAAAGUCAUUAAGUGUCAUGUCAUUUAGAUUAAUUAGAAUUUAAUUUGGGGUCCUGAAAUACCUCGGACACUGCACAGAGGUUAAGAUGACCAUUGCUUCAUAAAAUAAAAUA